CCCCCUCAUUUUCUCUCCCAGCCAGUUAGGGUUUAUGAGAUAUGUUGCAGGUGUUCGUUCCUCUAAUGCUUUUGUUUUCCGUCUGCAGGCAUUGAUUCCAUUAAUGUGACAACCUAAUUCUCUUCGUUUUUCGCAUCCACGAUCUGUCUGGAUUUUUUUUUUGGGCAGAGCUAAUUUGACAAAGAUAUUGGAGAAAGGCCAGGAGUUACGCUCGAGACCAUGAGCCAACUUAAAGAUCUUCGAUGCUUUGUGUCUGGGUGAUUCAGAAAUAUCCUUUGGUCCUGGAGAUGUUUAAUGGACAGUAGGAGCUGCACUAUUUGAAAGGGAAUACUUGUUGCCUAUUCAAACAGAACCUUGUGCAGGAAUGUUCAGUCUGAAGGUAGAGAUUUCUGUAGCUGAUUGAAGUUUCCAUCAGGCAUGUCUUGGCCUAAGAGCAAGACAGCUACUGCUGUUACAGUCUGGAACAGAGCAGGUAUGAAGAACACAAUUCGCCAGGCAGUGAAAGUGGUUGCACCAAUGUGGCGAAUGAGGUCCAACACAAGAGGCAUGAUGAAUUGGGUUGCUCCACCCCCAAGGUUGCCCCAGCCUCCAGCAACACCAUUGGCAACCCCAACAAUGGGAGGAGAGAACAUGGUGCUCAUCCAGUAUUGACAUGAAACAAAGGUGGCAAGGGAGAAGCCUGUGAAGAAGCGCACAAGGAGGAAUGAGACAGCAGAGUUGGCACAGGAGGUGAAGUAAACUACAGGUGCAGUUAGGAGGAUCAGUGAUGCUGAGGCAAGGCGAGGACCAACAAGGUCACAUGUAGUCCCCAUGACAAGUCUAGCAAAGACUGUACCAGAAACUGACGCAAUCCCUGCAUUGCCAAUAUCGGUGGCAGUGAGGUUGAGGUUAUCACGGAUGAUAGGGAGGAGUGGAGGGGCUGCAAAACUGGAUACAAAGCAAGCAAAGAAGGAUAUCCAUGCCAGAUGGAAGGCUUGCAUAUGGGGUGCUGCAACUGUGAAUAAUCGGAGUUCAGUUGCCUUGUGCUCUGAGUCUACUGGUAAAGGAAAUUCUUGAGCAUCUGUUCCAGAAUCCGAUAUUGUCAUAUUUGGAUAGUAAGGUUGAACUGGAUUGGAGUAACAGCAGGGAGCUUGCCUUUUAACGGCUGAAAGGGUUCAGGCUCUGCAAACGUUUUUUGGUUUCUGCUUCUGAGGUAUGAACUUCAGACUUCAAAUAGUUACCUUUUGAAAGUGACAUUAGAGGUUAUUGGAAGUUCAGAAUUGGCUCUCUCACUUGGGUUGUUGGGUGUGGAAUUAUUUGGGAUUGAAUCUAUCUAGUUGGAAAAUCAUUGAACACUGGAAGAAGAUAAGUUCUGACUUCUGACUUUUGGGAUCUCGCUUAAAUUAUAAUAAAAGGUAUGAGAUUCCACUGGGCAGUUUAAGAUUCUUUCACACUUACACUUUGUUUUGGCAGUAAUCGAAAAUCAGAAUGACCUGGGAUCUCCAGACACCAGAUUUCACACCUGUUGGGGAGAGAAUAGUGAUUUGCAUCUCAUGGGUUGAGCCGUUGAGGUAAGGGACUGGGGAUGGGUUUAAUCGCAUUAGCGUGUUUGGUCGGCCAAUGUAGGGACUGGGGAGUGAUGAGCCCAAAGAAGGUGCCUGACUGUUGCGCUUUCACUAUUUUCUGAUACAAGUGGCUUAAAUAUACAGACAUCAUGCUUAUGCUGGUGAUCUCGACCACACGACCAAUAGGCUGAUUGCUUUGACUGUUUGCACUUAAAGAACAUACUGAUCAACACACUUUCAAGAGAUCCAUCUAUGAUCUAUGGUCUUGUUUUUCUGGCACCCCAUGGACAGUGUGAGAUAGAAUGGGAUGGUUACUUGCAGAAUUAAAUCUUCUAUAGCGCACACAUUCUGUAACAUAAAUUCAAAGAUUGGGAAUGCCUUGGGCUGUUUAUCUAAGGGUUUUCAGCCCUUGAAUCUAUGCUGCACACCCUACAGCAUUACAAAGGACCCGAUCUGUCAGGAGAAAACUCUGGGAAUGCAAAACCUUAAAUUCAUGUGUGAACCUAUCACCACCUUUUCCUUAUGUGAGUCUAUAGUAUCAAUACUUGAGAAUUUUCAGCCUUGGUUAUGAUGCAUAAGCAACUCAAAUUCACGAAGCACUUAAACAUCCUAAGUGGGGAAGAUUAGAUCUAAUUGAUAAAUAGUGGGCCCACAACUUCCCAUUAUGGAGAAUUGAGAUAGGU